GAUGAACGCUGGCGGCGUGCUUAAUACAUGCAAGUCGAACGGACUGUUCUUCUUCGGAUGAACGGUUAGUGGCGUCCGGGUGAGUAACACGUAGGUGACCUGCCCCGAAGUGGGGAAUAACUACCCGAAAGGGUUGCUAAUUCCGCAUGUUCUCGGACAUUCAUUUGUCUGAGCAAAGCCGUAAGGCGCUUUGGGAGGGCCUGCGGCCGAUUAGCUAGUUGGUAGGGUAAUGGCCUACCAAGGCUUCGAUGGUUAGCUGGUCUGAGAGGAUGAUCAGCCACACUGGAACUGACACACGGUCCAGACUCCUACGGGAGGCUG
rnacentral:rRNA from 1 species